rnacentral:tRNA from 1 species
AUUUAUAUAAUAUAUUUAGUAUAUUUGACUUCCAAUCAAACAGUUUAAUCAAUUUUAAUAUAAAUA